rnacentral:tRNA from 1 species
ACCUGGGUAGCUCAGUCAGUUAAGUGUCUGACUUCAGCUCAGGUCACGAUCUCACAGUUUGUGAGUUCGAGCCCCACUUCAGGCU